GACGAACGCUGGCGGCGUGCUUAACACAUGCAAGUCGAACGAUGAAGCUAGAGCUUGCUCUGGUGAAUUAGUGGCGAACGGGUGAGUAACACGUGAGUAACCUGCCCCGAACUCUGGGAUAACUGCUGGAAACGGUAGCUAAUACUGGAUACGACCUACGAAGGCAUCUUCUGUAGGUGGAAAGAAUUUCGGUUCGGGAUGGACUCGCGGCCUAUCAGCUUGUUGGGGAGGUAAUGGCUCACCAAGGCGACGACGGGUAGCCGGCCUGAGAGGGUGACCGGCCACACUGGGACUGAGACACGGCCCAGACUCCUGCGGGAGGCAGCAGUGGGGAAUAUUGCACAAUGGGCGCAAGCCUGAUGCAGCAACGCCGCGUGAGGGAUGACGGCCUUCGGGUUGUAAACCUCUUUUAGUAGGGAAGAAGCGAAAGUGACGGUACCUGCAGAAAAAGCACCGGCUAACUACGUGCCAGCAGCCGCAGUAA
rnacentral:rRNA from 1 species